rnacentral:antisense_RNA from 1 species
CUUCACGGAACCGAGCAACAGCGGGCGGUCUGCCGGGUGUUCGCGGCCGUAGGUGGCCAGCAGUGCCUGCGCCUC